CGGCGUAAAGAGUGGUUAUGGAUGAACCCCCUCCACUAAAGCUAAAGACCCCCUAGGCUGUUAUACGCACCUGGGGGCUCGAACCACCUAUACGAAAGUAGCUUUAUCUCCUUCCACCAGAACCCACGACAGCUGGGGCACAAACUGGGAUUAGAUACCCCACUAUGCCCUGCCGUAAACUUAGAUAUUUCAAUACAAUAAAUAUCCGCCCGGGGACUACGAGCGCCAGCUUAAAACCCAAAGGACUUGGCGGUGCUUCAGACCCCCCUAGAGGAGCCUGUUCUAGAACCGAUAACCCCCGUUCAACCUCACUACUCCUUGCUUUUCCCGCCUAUAUACCGCCGUCGCCAGCUUACCCUGUGAAGGCAUCGCAGUAAGCAGAAUGGGCAAUGCCCAAAACGUCAGGUCGAGGUGUAGCGUACGAAGUAGGAAGAAAUGGGCUACAUUAUCUGAAGCAGAUUAUUCACGGAAAGUCACCUGAAAUUAGUGACUCAAAGGUGGAUUUAGCAGUAAGGGGAGAAUAGAGCGCUCUCCUGAAGCCGGCUCUGAAGCGCGCACACACCGCCCGUCACUCUCCCCAACAACA
rnacentral:rRNA from 1 species